GGUAGGCGUGGACAAUAGAGCAAGGGGAGUGCAAAUACCAGCUAUACCAGUUUUAGCUUGGGAGGAAGAGUAGGGGGAAUGGCUACUCUGGCUCUGGAGGAUGAAUAACGGGGUUGGCAAUCAGAUGCAAGGGGUGAGAGGUGUCCAAACUGGGUGGGAUUAAGGACUUAGUGGACAAACAGGUUCUGGCUACCAUGGACUCCAUUGUUCCUCUUAGCACAGCUUGUU